UACGAAGGGGGCUAGCGUUGUUCGGAAUCACUGGGCGUAAAGGGUGCGUAGGCGGGCCUUUAAGUCAGGGGUGAAAUCCUGGAGCUCAACUCCAGAACUGCCUUUGAUACUGAAGAUCUUGAGUUCGGGAGAGGUGAGUGGAACUGCGAGUGUAGAGGUGAAAUUCGUAGAUAUUCGCAAGAACACCAGUGGCGAAGGCGGCUCACUGGCCCGAUACUGACGCUGAGGCACGAAAGCGUGGGGAGCAAACAGG
rnacentral:rRNA from 1 species